UCUUUAUAUCACCCACACACUGCGUACCCACCUGUUGCCUCCACCGGUACACAUGUCCGGUGAGAGGGGAGCCCGUCAACCCUCUUUGCAUUGCAUUGCAGUCUGUCCGAACUCAGUGAGAGAAAAAACAGUCACAAAACUUUCAGCAACGGAUCUCUUGGUUCUCGCAUCGAUGAAGAACGCAGCGAAAUGCGAUAAGUAGUGUGAAUUGCAGAAUUCAGUGAAUCAUCGAAUCUUUGAACGCACAUUGCGCCUCCCGGCAUUCCGGGAGGCAUGCCUGUCCGAGCACUAACAGGAAAUGCAUUCGGGCCUGCACACUGGCCUGGUGGUGGGGGAUGAGCCCUUGUGUCGUCCGGCACGAGCUCACCCCUGAAAGCCAAUGGUGGGGAGCACCGAGUGCGCUGGUGUGAUAGCAACGCUUCGCCAGGAGUAUCGGGUUUGCACGCCCCACUGCAACACCAAAAGAAUCGUCCCGCAAGGGCAGAACUUUGAU
rnacentral:rRNA from 1 species